GGGCGGUUAGCUCAAUUGGCAGAGCACUACCCUUACAAGGUAGGGGUCACAGGUUCGAGCCCUGUACCGCCCA
rnacentral:tRNA from 1 species